GGUAUUUUUCUUACAGAGUUUUUUUUAAACGUCCCUGGAGAGAGAGAGAAUGUUUACAGUGUAUAAAUUCUUUCAGUUCACCGGUCCCUUUGCCAUCUCCAGAAUGUUUUAGACCAGAGCUUCCUGGCAUUUCUUGCUAUGUAUUUAUUCUAUAUAUAUAUAUUUUUUUGGGGGGGGGCUGUGCCAAUGAUGUGGAAGUUCCCAUGCCUGGGACUGAACCCAUACCACAGCUGUCACCAGAGCCACAGCCCUGACAACACCAGAUCCUUAACCUGCUGAGCCGCCAGGCAUUUCUGAGGCCAGGGCUUUUGACGCUAUGAAUAACCGGCUGCUUCCUGCCUCUGCUCAGGUGAUGGAUGUUCCUGUCAACAGGUCCCAUUCGUUGAUGUCCUUAGUCGCUCCGUGUAUUGUUUGGGACCUUUUAAGCUUUUGGUACUUUUUCGCCCUUUUACCACUCUCUGUAUAAAACCAGAGAAAACAUUUAUUUCUGUUAAGAUGAUCAUUGUUGAAUAAACCUGAAAGAGGUUAUGCUUCAUUUUUACCUAUUUUUAUUGAGCUGUCAACACUUGUUUGCUGGUAAAUGUUGAGCAACUGGUUCUUUGGGGGAUAGAGCCCAGAUCUGUAAUGUUUUCCAAUUUCUUUUUUUUUUUUUUUUUGCUUUUUAGGGCUGCACUAGCAGCAUGUGGAGGUUCCCAGGCUCUGGAUCGAAUCAGAGCUGCAGCUGCCGGCCUACACCACAGCCACAGGAGUACCAGAUCUGAGCUAUGUCUGCAACCUGCACCACAGCUCACGGCAACGCCAGAUCCUUAACCCACUGAGCAAGGCCAAGGAUUGAACCCGCAACCUCAUGGUUCUUAGUCAUAUUCGUUUCCGCUGCACCGCGAUGGGAACUCCGUGUUUUCCAACUUUUAUGGCAUAAAUAUUCCCACCGUUGCCAAUUUCAAGCUGUUUCCGCAAUCUCAGUGCCUGUGGAGUUGAGAAGAAGGAACAUUAUAUGGUACUUUUACAGGACAGACAGCAGGUAUGAAAACCCCAGUAGUAAUGUAAUUAGGAAGCAUUGAUUCUUGCCUGCUUAUUCCUUUUGCUUGGAGACAGUCGAGUAACAGGAGUGUAAGAGGCAGCUCAAAAGUUGCUGAACACUUACCACUUGGCCCCCCUGAGCAGGUGCACGCCAACCGCAGCUCACCACUGGCUGUAGUUCACGUCCCCCCACCUCUGAAAUAUGCAGCUUUUCCUGUGUAGGCAACACCAGGACAGGGCAUCUUCACCCCCAGAAGGGCCCACAUGCCACCACCUCGUCAGUAACCCCUUGGGAGAACUGCCUCGGGCCUCACUCCCCGCAGCUUCGUUUUGUGUCAUCUCAGGCUUGCUUUCAUGGCGGGAUGGUUUUGCUCAACGUUGAGUCUGUGAGAUUUGCUCAUAUUGUUGUGGGGUUUGCUGUGCAGCCUGUUCCUCUGGACAGAUGUGCACCUGUUGAGGGUUUAGCCAUCCCACUGAUGGUGGGUCAGUGCAUCAUUUCCGAUUUGUAACUCCUGUGGUUUUUUGGGGGGUUUUUUUGUUUUUUUUUCCUGUCUUUUUGCCUUUUCUAGGGCCGCUCCCAUGGCAUAUGGAGGUUCCCGGGCUAGGGGUCUAAUCGGAGCUCUCUGAUUCACUCCUAGUCAAGGAACCGCCAUGUGCCGUGGGGGUGGCCCUAAAAAGGGAAAAGAAAAGAACAGAACAGUGACGGGUGGAGUUCCCUGGUGGCUCCAUCAAACAAAACGAAAAACCCCCAAAGCAGGUGCCUGGCAUGUAAUCACAUCCAGUAGACGUCUGAUGAAUGUGUGUUGUUUGAAGGAAUGAAAGACUAUCAGACAUCCCACAGUGUCGGUGUUUGGAGCAAGAGUUCAUUCUUUUUCAAGGCAGGGUGAUAAUGCGCUGAUGUGUUUAACCGCUCCUCCGCCGAGGGGCAUUUAGGUUGCUGUGGAUUAAGUUUAUUACAGAAGCCAUGCAGUGAACUUCCUUCUACAGACUUCCGCCCACUCAAGGCGCUGCUGACCUGGACGCGCGUCAUGUCGACAUGGACACGCGUCAUGACGUGACGUGCGUCAUGGCGUGAUGUGCGUCAUGUUGACGUGACGCGUGUCAUGUUUACGUGAACGUGCAUCAGUUGACGUGAACGUGCGUCAUGGCGUGAUGUGCGUCAUGUUGACGUGAAGGAGCGUCAUUUUUACGUGAACGUGCGUCAGUUGACGUGAACGUGCGUCCUGUUUGCCCGGACGCGCGUCGUUUCGUUUGUCAGUAUCCUCCGUCAGUCCCGCCGGUUAAGCAGACCGCACCUUCACCCAGGGAGGCUGCCGGAGAGGCUUCGGUCUGCGCUGCGCUUCCGGAAACCUUCCCGGGAAAGGUCCUCUCGUGCCCCCGGUAGAGAAAGGACGGUGUCUGCCGGAAUGGGGACGUCUCCUCCAGGGCUCUGUGGGUCCCCGGCUGCCGGGAUCCGGCUCAGCUCCCGGCCCCAGCACAGGUGCAGCCCUGCCAGCAGGUCACGCCCUCGAGGCGCCCCCGGGGCCGAGCCUGUGCCAGGCUUGCCGUCUUCUCCGAGGCGAGUCACACUCCCUCCAUCGCGUGCACAUACCUCGUUUUCUUUAUCCAUCCUCUGCGAGCGGACGGACCGUGAGGUGGCCCCCGCCUCUUGGCCGCGUGACUCGCGCUGCAGUGAGCGGGGCCUGCAGAUGCUCUUCCAGCCCUGUGUUCAGUUCCUCUGGGUGGCUGGAUCACGUGGUAGUUCUAUUUUUAAGUUUUCGAAGAACCUCCCGCGCGUCUCCCACCGCAGCUGCACCAUGUCACAUUCCCACCCGUGGGUCCCAAGGUCCCAGUUUUUCACAGCCUCCCCGGCACUGGCUUUUCCCGUGUUGGUGGGUUUACGUGACCGUCCCCCCAGGUGUGGGGUGAUGGCGCCUUGCAGCUGGAUCGGCAGCUCCCCAGUGAGGAGUGAGGCCGAGCCUCUUUUCUGUGCCUGUGGGCCGGUAAAGAAGCUGUGUGUUGACACACAUCCCGGAGUCUAGGUAGCGUGUUCCAGGAGGCUGUUUCCAGAGCUCAGUGAUUCCAGAGCUCAGUGAUAACAGUGCUCCCGGGGGGAAGAGCUGGGGUGGGAGCGGAAAGGAGAGGUUAUCGCAGGACACUGGCUGCGGCUCCUGGUGCCGUGCUGUCCACUCUGUGUCCAUUGUGCCCUUGUCUGGGAUUGCAGUUGCCCCCUAGUCAAAUAAAGAAGUUGUUCUAGAAGGUCCCCCCGGUGAUGCUAGCGACCUGGAGAACUGUUGUCUGUGUAGGUACCCGCACACCCCCAGCCCUUGUUCACCUGUGCUCCCUCUGCUUUCAGAGGCACUCAGCCUUCAGCAGCGCCCGGCCGGCCAGCAAAGGAGCGAGCCAGCGCCUGGAUCUCCCUGACCUGCCCCUCUCGGGUGAGUCACCUCAGCUGGAAGUGCUUCUGACUUGGCACCUGUGGGGUUGACGUUUCUUCUCUUCUCAGUGUGAAACUGAGCUUAGAAAAGCCAUCAGCGGCGUUUACUGCCGACGGUCUCAGACUCGGGCUCUACGUGUCAGCAACGCGAGCCCCUAGCUGUUUCCUGCUGGCAGCACUUCUCCGUGUGCGAGAGUUUGGGAGACAUGUCAAACUCUGGGGGUUUUUGUUUGUUUGUUGUUAAAUCUCAUCUUUAAAAGUAACUAUUUUGAGGGAGCUCCCUGGUGGUCUGCUAAUGAGGCCUUGGCGCUUUCACCACCGUGACCCAGGUUCAAGCCCUGUUCUGGGAACCGUGAUCCCACAUCAAGCCACUGCAUGCCGCAGCAAAAAAAAAAAAAAAAAAAAAA
rnacentral:lncRNA from 1 species